AGGAAUAUUGGUCAAUGGGCGUAAGCCUGAACCAGCCAAGUAGCGUGAGGGAAGACUGCCCUAUGGGUUGUAAACCUCUUUUGUGCGGGGAUAAAGUGUGGGACGUGUCCCAUAUUGCAGGUACCGCACGAAUAAGGACCGGCUAAUUCCGUGCCAGCAGCCGCGGUAAUACGGAAGGUCCGGGCGUUAUCCGGAUUUAUUGGGUUUAAAGGGAGCGCAGGCCGUCCUUUAAGCGUGCUGUGAAAUGCCGCGGCUCAACCGUGGCACUGCAGCGCGAACUGGAGGACUUGAGUACGCACGAGGUAGGCGGAAUUCGUGGUGUAGCGGUGAAAUGCUUAGAUAUCACGAAGAACUCCGAUUGCGAAGGCAGCUUACCGGAGCGCAACUGACGCUGAGGCUCGAAAGCGCGGGUAUCGAACAGGAUUAGAUACCCUGGUAGUCCGCGCGGUAAACGAUGGAUGCCCGCCGUUGGGAUUUGGAUUUCAGCGGCCAAGCGAAAGCGUUAAGCAUCCCACCUGGGGAGUACGCCGGCAACGGUGAAACUCAAAGGAAUUGACGGGGGCCCGCACAAGCGGAGGAACAUGUGGUUUAAUUCGAUGAUACGCGAGGAACCUUACCCGGGCUUGAAUUGCAGGAGAACGAUCCAGAGAUGGUGAGGCCCUUCGGGGCUCCUGUGAAGGUGCUGCAUGGUUGUCGUCAGCUCGUGCCGUGAGGUGUCGGCUCAAGUGCCAUAACGAGCGCAACCCCUGUCCAUAGUUGCCAUCAGGUCGUGCUGGGCACUCUGUGGAGACUGCCGCCGUAAGGUGUGAGGAAGGUGGGGAUGACGUCAAAUCAGCACGGCCCUUACGUCCGGGGCUACACACGUGUUACAAUGGGGCAUACAGCGAGUUGGAUGUGCGCAAGUACGUCCGGAUCAAUAAAGUGCCUCUCAGUUCGGACUGGGGUCUGCAACCCGACCCCACGAAGCUGGAUUCGCUAGUAAUCGCGCAUCAGCCAUGGCGCGGUGAAUACGUUCCCG
rnacentral:rRNA from 1 species